rnacentral:lncRNA from 1 species
GAUUUGCUUCUCUCACAGUGUGUUGUGUUUUCUGCGAAUCUUGGUGUUCUUGUUCUUGUUCUUCUUCUUCUUCAAUUGAAGAGAGAGAAAGAGAAAAGUUUUAUCCGGCAAAACAAAAUGAGGGAAACAGAGUAGUAUAGAUGCGCCUAAUCGAGCGAGCAGUAUCGACAAUACUAAUAAGCGGUCGUUUUCACUUGCACUCUUCUACUCCUACCAAUCGUUCUUCUCCACAUAUUU